CGGGGCGUAGCGCAGCCUGGUAGCGCACUACAAUGGGGUUGUAGGGGUCGAGAGUUCGAAUCUCUCCGCCCCGACCA
rnacentral:tRNA from 2 species